CGCUGGCGGCGUGCCUAAUACAUGCAAGUCGAACGGUCUUUCUAUGGAAGCUUGCUUCCACUGAGAAGAUAGUGGCGAACGGGUGAGUAACACGUGGGUAACCUGCCCAUAAGAGGGGGAUAACAUCCGGAAACGGGUGCUAAUACCGCAUAGUUUUCUUGAUCGCAUGAUUGAGAAAGGAAAGACGGCCUUUGUGCUGUCGCUUAUGGAUGGACCCGCGGCGUAUUAGUUAGUUGGUGAGGUAAUGGCUCACCAAGACGAUGAUACGUAGCCGACCUGAGAGGGUGAUCGGCCACAUUGGGACUGAGACACGGCCCAAACUCCUACGGGAGGCAGCAGUAGGGAAUCUUCCGCAAUGGACGAAAGUCUGACGGAGCAACGCCGCGUGAGUGAAGAAGGUUUUUCCGGAUCGUAAAACUCUGUUGUCAGAGAAGAACAAGUUGGAGAGUAACUGCUCCAGCCUUGACGGUAUCUGACCAGAAAGCCACGGCUAACUACGUGCCAGCAGCCGC
rnacentral:rRNA from 1 species